CUCGACUGUUGCUGACCAAUGCUCUGAAAUAUUGAGCGAUCUGACCGCAAAUCACAUUCUUACCUGUCAGUAUGUUUAAGACUGACGAAUACGAUCAUCCUCCAUGACGUAGAGUACUUAUUGAUCAGCAAAACUGCUUCUGACUAAGCUAAUGUUACUCGGCGCCAUCCGUAAACAAUCGGCAACCACGUCCUCGGGUCUUCCAUAUUCCAAAAUGGCCGCCCUCGUCUCUGGCUUCCUGGUCGAAAGAUCCCUUCGUACGUCCAGCGCGUCCCUGGAACUACCACCACCACCACCACCACCACACCUUGAUAUGUAAUCUGCCAAUAAAGAAAUGACCAGCGUCUGGGACGUAUAGGCUCGACAGUCGACAGCCCCCGGGAGGUGCUGCCAUCUGUUGAGACAGACACUCAACUUUCUCAAGCACAGCGGUCGAGUUUAAGGGGGGACCAUUGUAAUUUCUUCGUCUUUCUCGCCGUCUUCGACUUUCUUCGCUAAACAGGUUUCAGCGACAGUGUCGUAACCAAUUUGAAGAGUAAGGAGUAACUACGUUAUCAAUAUGAAUGUUUU